rnacentral:rRNA from 1 species
GACGAACACUGGCGGCGUGCCUAAUACAUGCAAGUAGAACGCUGAAGAGAGGAGCUUGCUCUUCUUGGAUGAGUUGCGCACGGGUGAGUAACGCGUAGGUAACCUGCCUUGUAGCGGGGGAUAACUAUUGGAAACGAUAGCUAAUACCGCAUAACAAUGGAUGACACAUGUCAUUUAUUUGAAAGGGGCAAUUGUUCCACUACAAGAUGGACCUGCGUUGUAUUAGCUAGUAGGUGAGGUAAUGGCUCACCUAGGCGACGAUACAUAGCCGACCUGAGAGGGGGAUCGGCCACACUGGGACUGAGACACGGCCCAGACUCCUACGGGAGGCAGCAGUAGGGAAUCUUCGGCAAUGGGGGCAACCCUGACCGAGCAACGCCGCGUGAGUGAAGAAGGGUUUCGGAUCGUAAAGCUCUGUUGUAAGUCAAGAACGGGUGUGAGAGUGGAAAGUUCACACUGUGACGGUAGCUUACCAGAAAGGGACGGCUAACUACGUG